rnacentral:lncRNA from 1 species
AGGAUGCUCGCUAAAAACCAAGGCGCUGCUAACCGCGGCGACUCGGCUCCAUCUACAUCUCUUUAUCCAGUGCAUUUGCCUCGUGCUGACGCCAGCCAUUGGCUAUGGAAUUUCUCGCGGCCUGGCACGGACCAGUAUGAACGAGGACCUGGUCAACGGCCUGGUGGUGGCCAUGACCAUGCCCACGACCAUCAGCACGAACGUGGUGUUCACAAAGCAGUCGGGCGGCAACGAGGCCGCCGCGCUCAUCAACGCGGUGGUUGGCAACAUCAUCGGCAUCUUCGUGUCGCCAGGUCAGAAGCCUGGGAGCGCUGCGAGGGGGGAAGGGCCAAGCGUUGACGGGUUUGGGUUUGGGUGCGUGGGGCUGUGCCACGACUGUGCAGGUCUGGCCCGACUGGGCCCUGCCUCUGCUGGAGGCCGUGCAGCUUCACCCCCCAGCCUCAUCAUGAUACUACGUGUCGCACAUGUACUACCAGCUGCCACGCCACCGCCUGACUGCACCCGGCUGCACGUGCCUCCUUUGGGCUUACCCCACUUUACCCCCCCCCCCGUGCUUUUUACGCCCAGGCUGGCUGUACUUGUACCUCAAGCGCUCGGGUCAAGCCUCUUACAGCGAGUGAGUUACGAGCGAUGGAAAGGGAGGGAGGGGUGCGGGGGCCUGGGGCAGGGGCAGGGGGCCCAGACCGCAACCAGGGGUGGUCGGCGCGGGUGCUGGGCGGCGGCGGAGGAAGCGAGGAGGCAGCGUAGGAGGAAGAAGAGGAGGCGCAGGCGGAGGAACAGGCGAGCGUGAGGAGGGUGCGGAGCAGGCGAAGGGGCACUGGGUGUGUGCCGGGGUUAGCCGUCCAUGUAUUAGGAUGGAGGGGUGACCGGGUGCGGCCGAGGACCUACAGCUGUGGCCCGCAGAGUAACAGGGCAGAGCUCGCAGUGUGGUGGCACGUGGCAGGUUGGCACACGGCAGCCCCGAGGGAGGCACGGCGCGGGGCAGGGCAGGGCGGCUGGGGGCGGCCAGCCCGCAACCCGAGCGAUGUGGGGGUGUGGCGGGAGGCACUGAGUCGGGCUCGGGCUGGCGUGGAGGGGCGGAUUGCAUCGAGGGCUGGAUUCACGGAGGGCUGGAGGCGUCGAUGGCGUCGAUGCAGCCGCCCGGAGCCGCGGUCCGCACCCCCCCGCCGCGGCCCUGCGCUCCAUGCCGCUCCACACGCCAAUCUGCUGCCGCAUCACAGCACACACGACUACGGACCCCGCCCCAUCCGCCCUUCCCCCCGCCCCCCCCCCCCGCCCCCUCGCCCCUCUCGCCCCCCAGUGUGAUUGUCCAGAUGGCCAUCACCAUCAUUGCGCCGCUGGUGGUGGGGCAGCUGGUGCAGUACUUUGGGCCCGACCUGGUCAAGAAGGCGCAGGAGUACAUCAACUUCGGCAAGGUGCGGGCGCGUAUGUGUAUGUGCGUGUUUGUGUGUUUUGUGUGUUUUGUGUAUGUGUGUGUGUGUGUGUGUGUGUGUGUGUUGUCGUGCGUGUAUGGGAUGGGUGGGGUGGGGUGGGGUGGGGUGUAUGUCUGUGUUCAGAGCAAUGACACGUGCCUGUGCAUGUGAGUAUGGGGACUCUUUGACUUGACACUCUGUAUGCCACGCCCUGCUUCUGACCCUGCCCCUGCUCCUGCUUACCUGUUUGCCUGCAGGUGGGCAACGUGAUGAUCGUGCUGCUGGUGUGGAACACCUUCUGCAACACCUUCCACAAGGACAUCCACCUGGGCGCCGGGUGAGAGAGCGCAGGCCGCGGGGGGGUUUCGAGAAGCAGUGCGUGUGUGUGUGUGUGUGUGUGUGUGUGUGUGUGUGUGUGUGUGUGUGUGUGUAUGUGUGUGCACGGCGUGGGUCGGGUGGGUCUGUGUGUGUGAGCACGGGGUCUGUCAGUCGGGUGGGGUGGGCCGGCUGAGGUGUGGACUGGGUGGGUGGAUGGUGGCUGGGAGGCCGGAGGGGGCCGGGAUCGGGGAAGGGGGAGGGGGGUGGCGGGGGCGGACACGGGGUGUACAGGCCACGGAUGGGGCGACGCGGGGCCGGGCGCUGCUGUCUGUGGGCCGGACACUUCCCCACUGGGUUUCAGUUCCGCAUUGGGGCGGGAGCCAAAAUAUGCUCCUCCCCCCUGCACUUUGGCACCACCGGUGCUCACUGCCGUCUUGCUCGAACGCCUACCCCUAGAAUGGCAAAAACACACUCACACGAAUACAUACACACUCGCAUCGCGUACACAGUCCUGCGUGCUCCCUUGCCCUGUGCUCUCCCUAACCCACCCACCCCACACCCACGCCCCACACGCCACGCUCUCCCAAACCCCUACAGGUGUCCUGCGUGCUCCCUUGCCCUGUGCUCUCCCUAACCCACCCACGCCACACCCUCGCCCCACACGCCACGCUCUCCCAAACCCCUACAGGUCCUGGGUGCCCAUGUUGUUCCUGGAGAUCGGCAUGUUCCUGCCCUUCACCGUCAUGUGCCUGCUGCUGGCCACCUUCGUGCCGUUCAAGAAGCUGUUCAGCAUGGACAAGCCGGUGAGGCAGGGAGCGGGGGUGAGGGAGCGAGCCGGGGGGAGGGAGGGAGGGAGGGAUGGAGGGAGGGGGGGCGGGAGGGAGGAGGCGCGAGGGAGGGAGGGAGCGAGGGAGCGAGGGAGGGAUGGAGGGAUGGAGGGGGGGAGGGACGGGGAGGGGCUGACGGGUGACAGCGGUNNNNNNNNNNNNNNNNNNNNNNNNNNNNNNNNNNNNNNNNNNNNNNNNNNNNNNNNNNNNNNNNNNNNNNNNNNNNNNNNNNNNNNNNNNNNNNNNNNNNGAAUUCUUCGCUCCUGCGCCUGUCUACUGAUGGGGGGACGUGGCCGUUGCAGGUGCUAACGUAGAUGGCUCGGCAGCUUGAGUCGCGCUAGGAUGCGUGAGUUGGAUGUCUAGGACGUGGACAUGGCCGUGACGUGCACCAUUGUUGGUGCGCGUGCACCGAGCCCGAUGAUGGCCCUAGGCCUGAGGGACAUGCGUGAGUCUAGAAGUACCCCGGCGGGCAACCAACGGGAGAGACAAGCGGCCAAUUCGUAAAGACUUCAAGAGGUCAUGCACCUAUGGAUAGAUGUAAAGAAGCUGAGUGUGCAUGAUCCCACUGUGCUAUUUGGGGUACGACCCGAGGCCAAGCGGCCAGCGUAAAGACUUCACGCCGCAUACCUUUCGGCGCAGCAAUUGGGCGCAUACCCUUAACAUAUUCAAGCUGCACAUAUUAAGGACACCCACUGGCACUUUGCGCUCGUUUCUUUGCGCUUGUUUCAACAUGACAGUGGAGGGCCCCUUCUCUGAGGGCCCGCAAGACCGCAUUCUUGGCCGCGAGCCAACGAGCCAACAACCUAACAACAAUGAGCAGACGCCUGUAAAGGAGGCCCCGCCAACGCCUUCAACCGGCUCGGCUGACACUCCAGAGAAGCCCCACCCCGUCAAACGAUUUUUCCUUGCGGCGUGGGACCUCAUAUGCGAGCACUGGUUUAUCCUAGCGCUCGGGUUUGCCAUCGGCUUUGCCAAAGCGGUGCCUGACUUCGGUCGCAAUGGCGGGUGGAUCGCUGCGCAGUGGACCAUCAAAUACGGCGCUGUUAUCAUCAUCUUCUUUCUGUCAGGAUGCUCGCUAAAAACCAAGGCGCUGCUAACCGCGGCGACUCGGCUCCAUCUACAUCUCUUUAUCCAGUGCAUUUGCCUCGUGCUGACGCCAGCCAUUGGCUAUGGAAUUUCUCGCGGCCUGGCACGGACCAGUAUGAACGAGGACCUGGUCAACGGCCUGGUGGUGGCCAUGACCAUGCCCACGACCAUCAGCACGAACGUGGUGUUCACAAAGCAGUCGGGCGGCAACGAGGCCGCCGCGCUCAUCAACGCGGUGGUUGGCAACAUCAUCGGCAUCUUCGUGUCGCCAGGUCAGAAGCCUGGGAGCGCUGCGAGGGGGGAAGGGCCAAGCGUUGACGGGUUUGGGUUUGGGUGCGUGGGGCUGUGCCACGACUGUGCAGGUCUGGCCCGACUGGGCCCUGCCUCUGCUGGAGGCCGUGCAGCUUCACCCCCCAGCCUCAUCAUGAUACUACGUGUCGCAC